AAACUGACAAAGAAAACUUGAUUUAAAAGGCGUCUUCUGAUAAACCUCAGCAUCUCCUUACUAACAUACUAAGAGCAAUCACUGAACACUUUUCGUAUGUUCAAUGCGUCCUCGCGGGAUCUGAGAAGCAUUGUCCUAUUAAAUCUCAGUCGUCUGAUUUUCAGCAUCAAUUUAUCUUGGGAGCUGCUCCUGCAUUUUAUAAGGUGAAUUCUACAGCAACGAGAUUAAAGAUUCAGAAAGAGACAGAAGAAUCCACUCUAGCUGAGACUCCAGAUUGCCUGGGCUGUAAUUUACGGUGCUAUCACAAAGGGGUCCUUUUUCCGCAUGGUGCUCUGCGGUGAUGAGCCAGAAGCUGAAGCUGAGGGGUGUGUGACUCUCCCGCACACUCUCUGGAGUGAGCAGAAUGGACGCUUAAAUGGCUAAGUAUAGCUUGAAACUGAUUACAGGCCAGAUCCCACUAUUGUGCAUCAUCAGUUGUCAUUGUUGAGACUGAAAUUGCACUGGGAUGUUUCUCUUUGUCACCGGCUCCAAGCUCAUUUCUAGGACAGGAGUGAAACCGUAUGGUGAGCCUCGGGCCCAAGCACAGGGAGAAUUGUUCUUCUGGUGUGUCCCCCAAGGAAGAGCUUGGCAGGUCUUUGGCAGUGGAAGAUGGGCUGGCUUCAGUCAUGAUACCUAUAACAUUGGUAUUGCUAGGGCUUCCAGAUUUAUGGAUAGUAAACUCUAAU
rnacentral:lncRNA from 1 species